rnacentral:misc_RNA from 1 species
GUGAAUCAUCGAAUUUUUGAACGCAAAUUGCACUCUCUUCGGAGAGUAUGCCUGUUUGAGGGUCAGCCUAAAAAAAACCGCCAUAGUCGCGGUUUCGGGGUGAGAUUCGCGGGAAAUUGGGCAAUCUUAAACCUUUGGGUUUUAAGCGGCUAAAAAUUUCCUUUACGUCUACACGAGCGUUUAUA